rnacentral:rRNA from 1 species
UCAAUCUCGUGCGGCUAUAUAUACCGCCGGUCCCUCUAAGAAGAUUUUCAUUGUACGCCGGUAGUGAAGACCGCGUAACGCGCGCGACGCACCGCGANNNCCGCGACGCUUUCACGCCGCGGGAGCCGACACACGCACGCGGGCCCUCGUGAUACCGGUUGCACGUCUAUUUAAUAGGCUAGAGUUACGUUCGUUAC